CGGGGGGAAGAACUAACAGGAUUCCCCUAGUAACGGCGAGUGAAGCGGGAAGAGCUCAAAUUUGUAAUCUGGCGGUCUAUGGCCGUCCGAGUUGUAGUCUGGAGAAGCGUUAUCCGCGUCGGACCGUGUACAAGUCCCUUGGAACAGGGCGUCAUAGAGGGUGAGAAUCCCGUCUUUGACACGGACCGCCGAUGCUAUGUGAUGCGCUCUCAAAGAGUCGAGUUGUUUGGGAAUGCAGCUCAAAGUGGGUGGUAAACUCCAUCUAAAGCUAAAUAUUGGCGAAAGACCGAUAGCGAACAAGUACCGUGAGGGAAAGAUGAAAAGCACUUUGGAAAGAGAGUUAAACAGUACGUGAAAUUGUUGAAAGGGAAACGCUUGAAGUCAGUCGCGUCUUUGAGGACUCAGCCUGGCUUCUGCCUGGUGCAUUUCCUCGGGUGACGGGCCAGCAUCGAUUUCGAUCGACGGAGAAGGGCGAGGGGAAUGUGGCACCCUUUGGGUGUGUUAUAGCCCCUUGUCGUAUGCGUCGGUUGGGAUCGAGGACCGCAGCGUGCCCUUAACCGGGUCGGGGUUCGCCCACGUAACGCGCUUAGGAUGCUGGCGUAAUGGCUUUAAGCGACCCGUCUUGAAACACGGACCAAGGAGUCUAACAUGCCUGCGAGUGUUUGGGUGGAAAACCCAGGCGCGUAAUGAAAGUGAAAGUGAAAGGUUGGGACCUCUGUCGUGGAGGGCACCGACGCCCGGACCAGACCUUCUGUGACGGUUCCGAGGUAGAGCAUGUAUGUUGGGACCCGAAAGAUGGUGAACUAUGCCUGAGUAGGGUGAAGCCAGAGGAAACUCUGGUGGAGGCUCGUAGCGAUUCUGACGUGCAAAUCGAUCGUCGAACUUGGGUAUAGGGGCGAAAGACUAAUCGAACCAUCUAGUAGCUGGUUCCUGCCGAAGUUUCCCUCAGGAUAGCAGAGACUCGUAUCAGAUUUAUGUGGUAAAGCGAAUGAUUAGCGACCUUGGGGUUGAAACAACCUUAAUCGAUUCUCAAACUUUAAAUAUGUAAGAUCAAACCGUCGCUUGAUUGGACCGUUUGUGCGAAUGAGAGUCUCUAGUGGGCCAUUUUUGGUAAGCAGAACUGGCGAUGCGGGAUGAACCGAUCGCGAGGUUAAGGUGCCGGAAUACACGCUCAUCAGACACCACAAAAUGUGUGAGUUCAUCUAGACAGCAGGACGGUGGCCAUGGAAGUCGGAAUCCGCUAAGGAGUGUGUAACAACUCACCUGCCGAAUGAACUUGCCAUGAAAAUGGAUGGCGCUCAAGCGUGUUACCCAUACCUCGCCGUCAGCGUUCGAGUGACGCGCUGACGAGUAGGCAGGCGUAAGGGUUUGUGAAGAAGCCUGGCAGCGAUGACCGGA
rnacentral:rRNA from 1 species